rnacentral:lncRNA from 1 species
CUGAAGCAAGGGAGAAAGCCAGCUCUGCAUUGGUGUUCAUGUCCCAUCGCUUCCUCAGUGUAGACACAGUGUGACCAACCGCCUUUCCUAUCAUGACAGCCUGCACCCUCAGACUGUGAGCCACAAUGAACCCCCUUGUCACAGCAGUGAGGAAAAAAUUGAAUGCCAUGAUUUGGACAAGUUUCCAGAGUUUGAACAAGGUAGAGACAACAAUAAGAAAGUUCUCACCAGUCUUCGUGAGAAUUAAAUGAGAUACUACAUACAGCAUAUAAAGGCUCACCUUCCUGGCUUACGGACAUUGUUUCACACAAUGAGCAGAAGCAGUCUCACCAUUUUAAACCACAACCUGCCAUUUUCCUUUAGGCAACCAGUUUACUUUGCUUUUGUUCCACUGGCCAACAGGGCCUGGAGCUCACAGCAAACAGGUCAGAUGGGAACAUGACACCUGAUGCAAUUCCUCAGUAAGUCACUGCUGCAAUUUCCCAGGAUGCUUGGGAAAGGGGAGGUUCUUUCUACUCUGUCCCAGAGUGAUGAGAGGUGAGCACGGGCCUGCUGACCACCACCAGAAGGAGAAUUGUCUGGAACUGAAGCCAGCACAGCUGAAUCCAUCGAGAAAGAAAAAGCCUGUAAGAGGAGCCCAGAUGGCUGAUGGGUAGGGAGCACCCAGCUCCAUCUGUGGAAACAUUCACUGGGAAUGACUGGCAGGACAAGCCCGUGCACCCUGAGCUUCAACCUUCCACACCUUUGCAAGAGACAGCAGUGAAGAGCUGCCCGCAGUGCACCAUCACUCAGCAAGUCCCCGGGACUGACUAUCCCUGAGGGCCACACACCCAGCCUUCGUCCGUUGUCUCCUGCUUGGGAUCACACCCUAGUCUGACUGAGUGGUUUUCCUCCCUGUUCCUUUUUGUUGUUGUUGUUGUUGUUGUUGUUGUUGUUUUGUCUCCCUCAGCCAGGCUCUUGAUACUGAUGGUUUACCACUUACAGACUACUCCUUCCAUGUUAAGGGUUCUCUGCUGGCAUUAUCCCAGCCCCUGCCAUACUCCAUUUGCCUCAAGGUCUUUGUACAUGCUAUUCUCUCCACCUAGAGCCCCCUGCCUGCCAACUAACAGCUUGACGCUCUGGAUGUCCCUGUUUGGAUCCCUGUUUGGAUUCCUGCUCAAAUAGCACUGAUUUGGAGAGGCCUCACCUACUACUCCCAUAGAAGAAUUGUUCCUUCAGCCACACCCCAUCCUAACCCCUCUGUAGCACAAGUUCUAAUAGGUCUUAAUUAAAAAAAAAGCCAGGUGUCAGAUAUAGGGGAAAAUGCUGAAAGAUCAGAGAGACAAAGGAGCAAGCCACAGCCACGCCUUAUCUCAAUAACUUCUCAGAUGAAAAGAGACUAAGCUCCUGUCUCCCCCAACCUUAUCACUUCUUCUCUCUGCCCAGCCAUUUCACUUCCUGUUUGUUUGUACAGACCUCUAUGGUUAACUAGUGGCUAACUCCUCCUCUGAUCUUCAGGCAAGCUUUAUUUGUUAGAUUAUAAACAGGGUAUCACUACACUCCUUAGUUGAUAUGGUUACGGUAGCAACUGUGAUACUUAAUUAGGUGUUGGGUCAUCACGUGCACCCCUCUAGUUGGUAUAUCAGGGCAUUUCCUGCAAGAAUUAAAUGAUAGAGACCUUCUCCUAUGGCAGGUCAUGCCUUCUAGUAGCUCAAAUAUAAAAAGGUGAUGUCUUUGCCUGCCUGGCUUUGUGCCUUCCUGGUAAGGGCAUCUACUGUACUGCUGCCGCCACCGCCUCUGCCAUCCCUUGCUGCUGUCAGAGCCCAGUUUCUUCAACCUUUCAAUGUGGACUGAAGGUGGGUAACUCUACAAUAACCUACUGGUCCUGAGUGCUCUGUUGGGCUAUGCAAAGCAUCCAGCCUUAUAAACUGAAUGAUUUCAAAGUUUCCAGCCUUGCCAGCAUGCUGAAUCUCACCUAACACUGUGUAAGAUGAUCCAAUAAAUCUCCUUGGUAAUCUGUAUCAAUUCUUUUAGUUUUGUUCCUUCAGAGCAGUGGUUCUCAACCUUCAACACAGAUUCUGACGUAGUGGUGACCCUCAAGCAUAAAACCAUUCCACUGUGACUUCAUCACUGAUGUGGUCACCAAAGAGGUCAUGGUACAAAGGUUGAGAACCACUGCCGUAGAGAACCGCCCCCCCCUGUGAACACAGUGAAGUAAAGAGGUGUUUUCCCUCUGAAUCUUCUGCCUCACCAUCCUCACACAACAAAACAAAUACCCACCCACCCACCCCACUGAGAUUAGGUUAGGAUAACUGGGUCAGGCCAUGUCUUAGAACACAACAAAGCAGACCUGCAAGGUGUAUUUGUUGAAAACAAAACCACUAACAUUAGCUUGCAAACAUGGCCUGGAAUUACACAUGGUUCUUGCAGACACUUUGGGUUUGUUUCUAGAAGAAUGAGCUUCACAAACCGAGUCUCAGAGUAGACAUUUGGCCUCAUCACAGAGCUAAGUUUUGGAACUCUGGGUGAACCACUGCCAAACAAACUUUGUGAUCAUUGUUAUAAAUGAGUUUAGCUAUGGCUACAUGGAACUGCAAACAACUCUGUGUAGAGCAGACCAGCUUUCCAGCCUUGUGUUGAUUAAUACGAUUUCUGAAUAAGUAGAGUGAUGCUUGAGAUUGUUGCAAGGGAGCCCCCUGAGUUCAGGUGUCUCACCAAUCAUCCUGAAAUGGAACCAGUUUAUACAUGAUCUUUGUUUGCCCUGUCUACCAAUGUGACCAGGUUUAUUUCACAUACCCAACACCAAGACAGCCAAUUAUUCAAAGCUGUGCAUAGCACCAGGUAAUCAAGGAUACUGUGCCAAGCACUGACUGGUGGCGUUCAUGCCUCUAAACUGCCAUUUUUUAUCAACACAGGUUAUAAAGCAUAACUAGUGAGUUGGUGGAAACCCUCAGCUAACCAAUGGAAGAGCUUGUCUGGUACUGUAACAGACUGCAGUUGUAUUGAGAUUGUAACCAACAUUGAAUUGCCCCAUCCCUAGAGUGCCUACACAGUUGUAAGACAUGUUUGGCAACAGUCAUUCUAUUUAGAACCUGAAGAAAAUAGGAAAAC